rnacentral:rRNA from 1 species
UACGUAGGGUGCAAGCGUUAAUCGGAAUUACUGGGCGUAAAGCGUGCGCAGGCGGUUGUGCAAGACCGAUGUGAAAGCCCCGGGCUUAACCUGGGAAUGGCAUUGGUGACUGCACGGCUAGAGUGUGUCAGAGGGGGGUAGAAUUCCACGUGUAGCAGUGAAAUGCGUAGAGAUGUGGAGGAACACCGAUGGCGAAGGCGGCAUCCUGGACCAUUACUGACGCUGAGGCGCGAAAGCUAGGGGAGCAAACGGG